CUACGUAAUUCAAGCGAAUGUCUCUCUUCGUACGGACAGUCAAGAGACCCACGGCGGCUUCGUGUCACCUCUAGUCGUCGGUAAGGAAAGCGAUUCGAAGGAAUUAUGGAAAGUUUCGUCGAUUCACAAUCCCAGUUUUCGAGCCACGAAGUCUCCCGAACGCCGUGUCACUCUCGCCGCGUCGAAAGAGAAGGACGAAUUUCUCUCGGGAAACUCAUCAGUCGGCUGUCGGACAAUUCGAGUCUCGUGAACCUAGUGAAAUCGGGGCACCGAUGCUUCUGGCAAGCACGACGUAACUUCGAGAUCAUUUCCCAAUCUGAUAAAUUCAUGGCAGUUUCGAGGUUUUACGCGGCCGUUCGGGCGUUUCUCGAUCGCGGAAACCUUCGAGAAAUCACGGACGACGCGCAGCGCCACUACGCACGGCACAUCGCAGAGACGAGUUCCACGAGGAAUGAUAAUGGAUCGAAAAAAAAAAGAAGGAACGCGCAAUAGUGCUUGGCUCUUGGUUCCGCCGUUCCGCUGUUUUAACGUAGUUCAGCCACGAACGAUGACAAAACUGUCAAACGAACAAAGUACGAAAAAACAAAAUAUGACAAAGAGAAAAUGAGAGAAGCAUCCAAAGACUGUGCGAAACGACCUACCAGCGAAACUACCAGCGAAACCAGUGGUUAAAGAUGACGCUGGAUUGCAGUAGGGAUGCUGCUGGAGAUCCCUAAGAAAAAAUAUAUUAAUCAUGAGAUGCAUCAGGGGCGGCUUUUGGUUGAGUCACCACGAGGCUUGGGGUGCGGGGGGGGGGGAAUUUAAUGAUGGCAGCUCCAUUGCGCUGCUCGUGUCAACGUUCUUAAAUAGACUCGAAAAAUAUACAGGAGUAAGAGAAGAUGUGUCUAGGGAAGAUAUCCCGGUUGAGGAAGACAGCAUCUUAGUCAAGCUUUGGGUACGUCCCGCGCUGAUCUAGUCUUGGACUCGGUACCAUGACGAGACCUGACGCCGACCUCGGACAUGAUAACACGAAACGGCGCCACGUGUGACAACGGCAGAGCCCAGGGCCGUCUCCAUGGAUAUUUUUUUCGGGCGCAGUUCAACGACUAACGGAGAAGCAGGGGUACGAAGGAGACACGCGUGGGUGCGGGUACUCGUGUCGAUGGGAAACAGCGAGGAAAGUCUUCGAAGAUCAUUGACCAUAAUUUGCGGAGGGCUGAUCAUGCUGAUUUUUCCAGCCUGCAGAACGUCAACACAUUUUUUUGGGGUACGGAAGUCUCCAGAGAAAUUUCACGUUCUAGGGAAACUGGAUCGAUGCAGGAGACGUCACGAGGUGUCUUUUUUUACUUUCGGCGAAAGUUCAAGGCCCGUCCACUUCACCUUCACAAUCGACGUCGUCGCCCCUUUAUGACUUUCUAAGGAAUUUCUCAAGGAUUACGAGAAAAAAUGGAAAAUUUCGUCAUUUCGGAUUCAAUUUAAAAUCCAAUAUUUACAGUUUACACGAACACAGUAUACCGUGUGGGGAUGCGUAACCGUGUAAGAUUAAAAUCACGGCGCCCGAUCAUCUCUGCAACGACUUCCAGCCGACUCUGCCGACUCCCCGAUAAUUUUUCAUCAAACUUUCACGAAUUUCUACCGUGAAAUCAGCCGAUCCGAACGACGCAGCCUCUGCUUUACAUACGUCAGCAAAUUGCCAGCUCUCAGUCGAACAAGAACGGAGUAUACGAAAAUAUGAAAAAACAAGAAGGAAGAAAAACAUUUCGUACACGAUACGCAUAACACGUAAAGUAGAUACAGGUACCGGAAGUACGGGUGGGACAGUCGGAGCAAUAACUUCACAGUCCGAUUCGAACAUGAACGGCCAGCGAGUAACCUUGAUUAUACAUAAAAUUUUGCCAAAUGAAAAAAAAAAAAUCGAAAUACUCCGCUUUCAACGAUAUAUACCAAAAACACUAAAAUACUAUUAAAAAAAAAUACAACAGUGGCAUUUUUUCUUGCCGCAUUUUUCAUCCAAGAAAUCCGACAGACAUAAUGAAUUAUUUCCAAACAAAAGGUGAAACCAAUCGAUUCCGGAAUAUCUCGAAUCGUAACAAUAGCCUUAGAAUUCCUUUCUCGUUAAAAUUAAUCCCCGUGAAAGAUCCACGAAGAUUAACCCCUCCGAGCCGUUAUCAUUUUAGUAGUAACAAUUUUACAUUUUCAUGGGUAUUUAACCCCCAAAGAAAUCGUGUCGAAGGGUUAAAACCGAAAUACGUCCUGAUUUUAUUGUCUCUGCGCGACCUUGAUCGAUUUGGCACUCUGGCGGGCUCGAGCGGUACUACUGUAUAUACGAGCGCAAAGAACCCUUUUCUCCAUAUCCGAAGCCCAAAUUCUAUUUACGGAUCGAGAAGGCACGCUGACAAUUUGGACGUACUCGCAGAGUUACGAUAUCAGCCAGCGAGUAAGCUGGAGGUACAAAUGAGUUGGUGAGUAAAAACGAGCAAAUCGCGGAACGACACGAGAGCGCGAGGGGAUGGAAGAAGGCGGGAACGACGUGUGGAUUCCUGGAGAUAAGACACACGUUUCCAAUAGCGUCGCGCGAACAGCCGAUAUCUUGGACAGUCGACGUAGCCAAUUUGAAAAUUUUAUAUGGAAGACGCAAUAAAAUUUGUCACGAUGGAAAAAUAAAUAUUCUCAAACGUUA